rnacentral:rRNA from 1 species
UACGGAGGGUGCAAGCGUUGCUCGGAAUCAUUGGGCGUAAAGCGUACGCAGGCUGUUCGUUAAGUCGGGUGUGAAAGCCCGGGGCUCAACCCCGGAACGGCGCCCGAAACUGGCGAGCUUGAAUGCGGGAGAGGGAAGCGGAAUUCCUGGUGUAGAGGUGAAAUUCGUAGAUAUUGGGAAGAACACCAGUGGCGAAGGCGGCUAACUGGUCCAGUACUGACGCUGAGGUGCGAAAGCGUGGGGAGCGAACAGG